GACGAACGCUGGCGGCGUGCUUAACACAUGCAAGUCGAACGGGCCCGCCCCUGUUUUUGGGGGUGGGUUGAGUGGCGAACGGGUGAGUAUCACGUGAGUAACCUGCCCCCUGCUCCUGGAUAACUGCUUGAAAGGGCGGCUAAUACGGGGUGUGCCGGCUGGUCCGCAUGGGCCUGGUCGGGAUAGUUUCAUCUUCGGGUGUUUCGGUGGGGGAUGGGCUCGCGGCCUAUCAGCUUGUUGGUGGGGUGAUGGCCCACCAAGGCGGUGACGGGUAGCCGGCCUGAGAGGGUGGGCGGCCACACUGGGACUGAGACACGGCCCAGACUCCUGCGGGAGGCAGCGGGGGGGGGUAUUGCACAAUGGGCGGAAGCCUGAUGCAGCGACGUCGCGUGAGGGAGGGAGGCCUUCGGGUGGUGAACCUCUUUCUCCGGUGGUGAAGGCCCUGUCCGUUGCGGCGGGGUUGACGGUAGCCGGGUAUGAAGCGCCGGCUAACUACGUG
rnacentral:rRNA from 1 species